rnacentral:RNase_P_RNA from 1 species
UGAGACCUCUUGAUGGCCGCGGCCGUGAUCUUCAUUGGGAUCGGCUGAGGAACUUCCGGGCUCCAUAGAGCACGAUGGCGGAUAACGUCCGCCCAGGGUGACCUGAGAGAUAGCGCACAAGCAGAUGGCGGUAAGGGCUGCUCGCCCAUGUCAUCGGGUAGGCUGCUAGAGCCUGACGGCAACGUCAGGUCGAGAUGGAUGGCCAUCCGUGCCGCGCGUUCGCGUACGGCAUGACAGAACCCGGGGUAUAAGAGGUCUCAUUUA